UAGAAGCGCACCCAGUCAGAAGAGGGGUGGGAGGAGAUGGUGCCUGAGCUGGGUAUUAGUGGGUGUAGUUGAAAGGGCAGAGCAGAGAGUGGCUGGCCAUGGCUGCCUGGGGGGCAUAGCUGGUGUUAAUGGGGCAUGCCCGGUCUCCCAACUCAGCUGCAGCAGAUCACAGUGUCACAGCCCUGGCACAGCACUAGCCAGCUCAAAAGAGUUCAAGGCUCACCUUAAGGAAGCUGCAAGACCACAAACUCUAGCUAAAUUCACAUCAGCAGAGAGGAAGGCCAUUUCCAGGGGCUACUUGAUAGCCAGAGGUGUAACAAGACAGCUUGCAAUGGACUGGACUGUAGAGUGGUGGGUCUUGAAUUGCCUGUCUGCUAGAGCUAGUCCAGGGCUUACUACUCCAGAUUCUGUGCUUUGGCUGAACUGUUCCUGGACAUGUGCUAGUCCUGGAUCCACACCUAUUUCCCAACUGGAACAGCACAUCGCAAUAUAAUAGAGGUGUGACUGAUACAAAGAUAAGCUGCAACUAGCUCACAGAAAAAUUAAAUCUUUGUGUAUCACCACACAAGUUGAACAUUUUAUUCAUAGGAAAGUGUACAAGGAACCAUUCCAUGGUGAAGCUGCAUCUAGUAUGUUACUAGAGAAAAUGGCAAAGGCAUUUAGGGAGGCAACUGAUGGAUAACCUAGUAGUAUUUAGGUAUGGAAAGCUGAAAGAAUAGAAAUUCUGUGUGGGGAUCGGGUGGAGCCACCAGGGUGUGAGAGGGAUUGACAUGGAUAUAUGGCCCAAAUCCCCAUACUGCACUGGACAGAGCUGACAGAUGUGGGAGAAGCUCCUUUCCCUUAGUAAUUGUAAUUUUGCAGUGACACAGUGCCAAAGACACAACUGGAGACACUAAAACAGAUCCUGAGCAUGGGAGGAAAACUUAUGAUUGGAAGUCAUCGAUGCCAAAAGAGACUUCUUAUGUCUCCCUGCUGCUGCCCUCACACCCCAAAACCUUUCUUCCUACAAACCAAAAGCAACAGCUACAGUGUGGGAUAGUGAAAUAUUUGUCGCUCUGCACGUGAUUCCUGUGAGUCCAUCCAACAUCCAUCACAAAGCUCUUCCCAGGUAAGCUUCCUUGCAGGAGAUUGUUCCCUUCCUGCUCAGAUGAACUGGAAGAAUGGGCAUCCUGCAGAGACAGGAAGUCAUGUCAAGCAAUAAAAGCAAAAAAUGAAACUGA